rnacentral:rRNA from 1 species
UUUGGCCUACGGGGGGCAGCAGUGAGGAAUAUUGGUCAAUGGGCGAGAGCCUGAACCAGCCAAGUCGCGUGAGGGAAGACGGUCCUAUGGAUUGUAAACCUCUUUUGCCGGGGAGCAAAAAGCGGUACGUGUACCGCAUCGAGAGUACCCGGAGAAAAAGCAUCGGCUAACUCCGUGCCAGCAGCCGCGGUAAUACGGAGGAUGCGAGCGUUAUCCGGAUUUAUUGGGUUUAAAGGGUGCGCAGGCGGCGAGUUAAGUCAGCGGUAAAAUGUCCGGGCUCAACCCGGGCCGGCCGUUGAAAGUGG